UUGGCAAGGAUCAUUUAAGAUAUAUGCACGUAAAAGAAUGAAGGCAAUUGUAAGAUUUAGAAAUCACUGGAUUUUGCCGCGCACGUGAACGCAACGCGAGAGCUCCAGCGGCGAGCGCGGCUGCGAGGAGUGGAUGAAGGAGGAGGAGGAAGAAGGAGGCAGGAGCAUGAUGCGUUACGCCGCUUAUUAGACUCAAAGACGGCUUUCCUGCUUGCCUUGAAAGGGAGGCAGGAUGGAGGAGAACCAGCACUUCAUUUGCGGGGUGGUGGAAGGUUUCUAUGGAAGGCCAUGGUCUAUGGACCAGAGGAGAAUUCUAUUCCAAUGGAUGCAGAAGUGGGGGUUGAACACUUACCUGUACGGUCCAAAAGAUGACCUGAAGCACAGACUGUUGUGGAGAGAAGUCUACUCACCUGAAGAGGAAGGUCAACUGCGCACUCUCAUCGAGGAGGCCCAGUCAAGAGGCCUGAGGUUCGUUUACGCACUUUCUCCCGGUCAGGACAUUGUCUUCUCGUCCCCCUGCGAUCUGACUCUCCUGAAACGCAAGCUAAGACAAGUAUCAGACCUCGGUUGCCGGGCGUUCGCCAUCCUGUUCGACGAUAUCGAUCACUCCUUGUGUCAGGCUGACAGCGAGGCCUUCUCUUCGUUCGCACACGCUCAGGUCACCGUCACUAAUGAGAUUUAUCGCUUCUUGGGGGAACCGUCCGUCUUCCUGUUCUGUCCCACAGAGUACUGCGGCUCUCUGUGUUCCCCGAGCGUGCAGAAGUCUCCUUACCUGCAGACUGUCGGUGAGGACUUGCUUCCCAAGAUCACAGUCAUAUGGACAGGUAGCAGGGUAAUUUCCAAGAAUCUACCUGUGGACCGCCUGGCCGAGGUGGAGUCCGUCCUUCAGCGCCCGCCGCUCAUCUGGGACAACCUGCACGCCAAUGACUACGACUCCCGUCGACUCUUCCUGGGUCCUUUCAAGGGCCGCGAGCCUUGGCUGAGAGGCCACUUGAGGGGCCUCCUCCUCAACCCUAACUGCGAGUUUGAGGCCAACUACAUUCCGUUGCACACGCUGGCAAGCUGGUACAGAGCUGGAAGCCAGGAGAGAAAAGAUGUGGAGACAGAUUAUUGUCCUGACAGAGCUUUGUCUGCUGCUUUACACGACUGGAUGGAUGAACUCAACCAACCUCUACAAGCAGGUCGACAGAGCUCACGAGGAGAUCAGCGGUGUUCUCGAGCCAAAACCCCAGACAGAUCUGACAGCACUGCCACUUUUCGAGGGACAUCCGUGGUGGCUAAACUCCCAGUCUUCCCCCUCAACUCGAGUUCUCCCCCCCCCUCGCCCACCAAGGGCAAAGGAGAGAGGGCGGUCGAAGCGGCCGAAAGCCCACGUCAGCCCGAACGAGCGUCCAGACCUGGAAUUCCUACAGGGAGAACCCACACAUACAAGUCCCAGGGUCGAGGUCUCUGCGGUGGGAAAGGCCUGCUGAGUGAGUCCCAGGUAAGGCUGUUGGUGGGCCUCCAUUAUUUGCCUCAUGAGCACGGCCCCUCGGCCCAGAAACUUCUUCAGGAUCUGACGUGGCUCAAAAGCAACUGCCAUCUGGUCAGCGCCAACAGCAAGAAAACCUCACCUCACAAGGUAGACGAAUGGAGGAGCCGGGCCUCCGAAUUCCUGUCUUUGUGUGAAGACAUCGCUCAGCUCCACUGUAGCGUCGUAGGCGCAGCCAACCGGGCUGUGCUCUAUGACCUGUACCCUUAUGUGUGGGACCUGAGGAACAUGGCACUUGUGGCCAAGGCUUUUGUGUGCUGGCUGGAUGGUUACGUCCUGAAUGACAGCGCCACCUUGGCCUCAUGGAAGAAUUGCUUCCAGUUGUGCGGGAAGACCACAGGAACCGACGUAGCGGGAGACGAGUCGGAACCGUGGGCGUUUAAAGGAGGCGUAUCUGGGGAAGUGCAGAUGCUUCUCCCCGUGGGCGGCAGCAGUGAACUCUUCACUCACCCUCCUCCUCUCUUCCCCACCUCUCGUCUCUACAACAUUAGGCCGUACCACAGUAAGGACAAGGUGGAGUUGUACCGAAUGGUGCGUCAGCUUCACUUGAGGUCUCACUGUGGUCAGGAGUCCGGUUCUUCCCACCCAGAUGUCGUAGGAGACAGGUGUCUGGGACCUUGCCUGGCCUUGUGUCCCGAAUACAGCUUCAUCUUGGAGGAUGAGUUAGGCUUAUGCGGUUGUAUUCUUGGAAUCAUGGAUGUGCGCUCUUUUGCCAAGAGAUGUCAGUCGAGCUGGUUGCCUGCCAUGAGGGACAAGUACCUACCCAAUGGAGGGCACUCAAACACACAGGAAUUAAUCAAGCUAAUGGAGGAGGACCAGGGAGAGUAUCCAGAUUCGCUUCUCUAUCAUUUCCCCUCCCAGCUGCGUCUGGACACGUUGCCCGAGUUGGUGGACGUCAGCGUCAGCCGCACCCUGCUCGUCACCCUCCUGGUGGCCCUCAAAGCCAAUGGUUCUCAGGGUGUGUUUUGCGAGGUUCAGCCAACCGACCGCCAGAGGCUGGAGUUCCUGAGCAAACUGGGCUUCCUGGAGAUUCUUCGAGGUGAAGCCAGGAGCAGAGAGGGCGUGGUGAUGGCCAGGCUGCUUUGAGAACACUGGGGGGGAAUCACCUUUAAACACACCUACACAUUCGGGGGGAAAAAUCAAGAUGCGGUGUCCAAGAAGAUAAGCAUUGAAAAGAGCUUUAAUUCACCCAAACAGAGUCCUGCAUCCAAAUUAGAAUGAUCUAGAAUGUGAAGAAUUUUACACACACACUUAGUUUAGAUGGUUAUUUCCAUGCAUGAAAUGUUGUGUGGCUAUUUGAAAAAAAAAAGCUUACACAUUAUGUCAUAUAGAGCUGUCCAAGUUUUUAAGUCUUAAGGUCAACCAAACACUAAAUGUAAGUGCAUGUGCAUUACAACUACAUCAGAAACACUCAUGUGCACAAAUAUAGAAAAAAAGGAAGAAAUACAACAAGCACAAAAGCACUCAUGCUUGAUCCUACAACUGAAAGUACACACAAAGAAUGUCCAUUCAUCCAUGAGACAAAAAGUCUGUGCAAGGUUUUUGCAUUAAUACUUUGCUUUUAGUUCUUUUGUACAAUUCCAGCGCGCCUCAAUCUUCCGACAGACUGAAAUCACUUUUCGAAGUUUCUUAUGAUCACCUGUGAGAACUACAUCAGAAAGCAUGAAAAUAUAAAAAGCACUGUGACGGAGAAACCGUCAUUAUUAAAGCAAUUUAAAAUGGGAGAAAUACCAGGAAACGGCAGCAACGUUAUGGACAUCAGUGCUUUCUCGUUCAACUGUACUGCCGGCUUCCCAGCGGCUACGAGAGCGCAGGUUCUGCUCGGGGGCCUUCACUUGACCCGUGGGGAUUCGGUAGGCGGACGCGCUGCCCCGCAGGAGCAGCAGCAGCGUCACGGUCAGGGUGGCGGCCCAACUGCAUGCCGGCAGACCCGUCUGUUUUCGGGAGACAAUCGCAUCGCACGUCGGCCAAAAAAUGCGUGUAUCGGUGUAGUACUUACUGCCCCCAACAGGUUGCUCAAAGCGAUGUCAAGAUAAGCAGAGAGGAAAGCUAAGGAAGACAGAACUCAUCAGGGUCCCAAGGGAACUUUUACCAGCGUCGCAUACAUGUAUCUUACCACUUGCGAUGGCCAACAAGUGGGUCUUCCAAUUAAACAUGAAAAAAAAUCCUCCCACGGCCAUGCAGCCUAGAGCUCCGUUAAAGCCGGACAGACCAGAAUAGAGGCACUCGUGCCGCACAGCCACGGAUAGACCUGCACGCGCAUGGACAACUUAUUAGUUUUAUUAUUACAGUGCUAAAAAUGAAUGAUUUGAAUCAGUUUGUUUAAUAGACAACUGCCCCUUGAAAACCGGAAAUCGUCCCGUAUUCCGAAACAAAAGUAUGCGUCCCGUCUUGAGCUUUCGAGCGACAUGCUUUGUUCCGUAUGAUCAUGAAACUAGAAAAUAAUGUCUUAUUUAUCUAACGAAGCAAUACUGGUAUGGUACUUUACAAGAAUUUGCAGGCUAAUGCAUUUUCUCCCUCUCCUGCUCUUUGACCAAUGAGCUGACGGAAAAUGACAAUACAAAGUCCCAUCAUCUCAUUGGUCGAGAUACUGUCGCUUGCCAUGAUGAUGAACGGAAGACAACAGAAGAGCCUUGUCCCUGAUAAUAAACGGCUCAUAUCGUGAUAACUUUUGGUAGAAGGUAGAAAUCCCAUGCAGCGGCCCCACUGCCCCAAGCCGAGCUCUCCUAUUUUAAUGCAUACAUUGCACUACCCUCCCCACACAAUCCCAUCACGGUGCUGGGUAAUGGCUGCCAGCCAGGGACCUGGCAGCCACAGCAAUAGGGUGGUAGGUGGGUCCCACAUUUUUUCUCUAUGGCGUGGCUCCCGGGGAGUGGCCUCCCCUCUGCCUGGGCUGCCGAUCUCACAUGGCCCCGCGGCGGCUCCUCGGCGUUCUCCUGCUUCCCCCUUCCUCUUUCUUCUCUGCCUGGGUAUCUGCCCUGCGCUCCGACGCGGGUCGCUGGCUGGAUGCCGGUGUGUCGGCCGGGUGUCGCCCACUUCAGCGGGGGACCCUGCCUUGCCCUGGGUUUGGUGGGCCGCUGGGGGCUCCCAUCGUGUGGUGUGCCG